ensembl:lncRNA
UUCUCUGAUAAUGCUUUUUCCAUCUCAUACUCAGAGGAUCCAACUGAAGCUCCGCCAUCCACAAAGGCUGCACCAACUGCUCUGCAAGCUACAAACGAUUCCUUCCAGUCGACAUGCAGUCUCAACCUGGCCUCUCUGGUUUACACAGUGAUGAUCGUGAAGAGCAUGGUGUACUGCUGUGCGCUCUCUCUCCUGCUGCACAACAGGAACAUGGGAAGUAGACCCAGCACCAGUAGACCCAUUCACUGAAAGGAUAUGCCCCAGUAUGGAUAGAGUUUUGUAGUGGGCUGGGAACAACAAGGAUUUUACACCCCAUUGUGGUCUCAGAUUUCAUUUGUGUUCCUUUAUUUUUUUUCCUGCUUUAUUUUUUAAAUGCUAAAAUAAUGUGAGCCAUAGAUUUACACUUCAAUAGCUAAUUAUGACAUUAAUUGCAGAACAUUUCAUUUGUAUUUCCAAUUACUUCAACUGCCAAUUAUGACAUUAAUUGCAGAACAUUUAAAUUGAGUAUAUUGUGUUUCCCUCCUUAACAUUUGAAUUAAUAUCACAUUUUACUUUUGAUGAUUGCGGGAGCUACACACUGCAGACACUUAAAUAAAGAUUAAAUUAAGGUUUUCAGAAAAUUAAGGAUAGGACAUCUUUAAGGUAGAUCCUUAUGGUUAAAAUGUAGAUUGUUUAAUGAAUGUUGCCCUGCAUUAUCUGUCAUAGUGGGAAAUUACACAACUGUAUUUGAUUUACACAAAAUAUUUAUCUAAAUAUUAAAUCUAUCAAAAUAUUUUAUUAUUAAAUAUGCAUGCCCAUGAGUUCUAAAUAUGUAUCAUUAUCCCAAAAAAUAUUUAGUAUGUUGUCGUGUGUGUAAUGAAACGUAGUAUAUAUAUUUUUAAGAAAUUAGAGUACGUUUUUUAACAUAGUAUUUUGUGUCUUAAUUCAAUUAUUUAAUUAAAUUACAAUUAAUAAUAAAAUCCAGCUUUUAUUUUACUUUAAAGAACUAUAUUCUCACUGCUUAUUGAGCUGGCAAAAUGCUAAAUGAGAGAAAUCAUUAAUUUGUGCUUUUUUACAUUUAUACAUUUUUUUUUUUUUACAUUGAUAAGGCUUGUUUAAAGAGUGAUAUUUUCCUUGCGUAAAAGGGCCUAUCUAGUGAGCAGUGUUUCUCAAAAGAAGCAUAUCCUUUCACAUAGGGAUGGGUUUAAGAAUCGCUGCCUUCGUGGUUUAAACUGUACUGUUUUGUAUGAGGAAACUGUCACCAUAAUAGAAAAUAAAAGUUACUUAAAAACCCCAAAACAUUGUAUUUCUUUACUAUAAGAUCAUCUAUUAUUUUUUGUGAAAAUGUAUUUUAUUUAAUAAUUUAAGAAGCGGAACAAUAAGGUCAUAAGAUCUCUUAUUCUCUGUUUUCAACCUGUUUGCUUGUUCCGAUGCAGGUGUUGAGCCAAGACUCAAUGGUAGUGGGAAAAUGUGGUUCAUGUUUCUUUGGUUUUCUAAAGUAAGGUGAAAUGGUAGUUACUGGAAACAAGAUAUAGAUGCAUAACCACAGCUCGAUUGUGUGAUGAGAUAUUUCUAGAUAUUUCAUUUUUGUUCAAUUUUUACACUUAGGUCAUUUAGCCGAGGCUCUUAUCCAUAGCGACUUACAGGAUUCUCAACGGCACAUCAACCAAUUUUUCAACUAAUCAGCUCGGGUAUGCGAACCAGCGACCUUUCAGUUACUUGCCCCAACGCUCUUAACCACUGUAGGCUACCUGCUGCCCCUCGGGUCCUGUAUUACUAUUUUUUUUAAACUUGUUUUACACUUUAUAUACAUUGAUACGGCUUGUAUGAAGAGUGACAUUUUCCUUGCUUGAGACAGCCUAUCGAGUGAGCAAAGUUACUCAAAAUAAACAUAGUUUCGGAUGAGGGUGGGUUUAAUGAUCGCUGCCUUCUUGAAAGAAAAGUUAGUCCAAUAACAUUUUGUAAAAUAAGAAGAGCACAUCUUGAAGGUAGAUCCUUAUCAUAAAAAUGUUGACUCUUUUAUGAAAUUUGCCCUGUAAUAUCUGUCCUAGUGGUAAAUUAUUUUCAUAAUCUAUAUU